rnacentral:rRNA from 1 species
GGAGGGUGCAAGCGUUAUCCGGAUUCACUGGGUUUAAAGGGUGCGUAGGCGGAUAGGGAAGUCCGUGGUGAAAUCCUGCAGCUUAACUGCAGAACUGCCGUGGAUACUCUCUAUCUUGAAUAUCGUGGAGGUUAGCGGAAUAUGUCAUGUAGCGGUGAAAUGCUUAGAUAUGACAUAGAACACCCAUUGCGAAGGCAGCUAACUACGUGAUCAUUGACGCUGAUGCACGAAAGCGUGGGGAUCAAACAGGAUUAGAUACCCUGGUAGUCCACGCCCUAAACGAUGAUUACUCGACAUUGGUGAUACACAGUCAGUGUCUGAGCGAAAGCAUUAAGUAAUCCACCUGGGAAGUACGAUCGCAAGAUUG